UACGUAGGGGGCAAGCGUUGUCCGGAUUUAUUGGGCGUAAAGAGCGUGUAGGCGGCCAGGUAGGUCUGGUGUGAAAACUCGAGGCUUAACCUCGAGAUGUCAUCGGAAACCAUCUGGCUAGAGUCCGGAAGAGGAGAGUGGAAUUCCUGGUGUAGCGGUGAAAUGCGCAGAUAUCAGGAGGAACACCGGUGGCGAAGGCGGAUCUCUGGGCCAUUACUGACGCUGAGGAGCGAAAGCGUGGGGAGCGAACAGG
rnacentral:rRNA from 1 species